AUUGAACGCUGGCGGCAUGCCUUACACAUGCAAGUCGAACGGUAACGGGCCUUCGGGUGCCGACGAGUGGCGAACGGGUGAGUAAUGCAUCGGAACGUACCUUUCAGUGGGGGAUAACGUAGCGAAAGUUACGCUAAUACCGCAUAUUCUGUGAGCAGGAAAGCAGGGGAUCGCGAGACCUUGCGCUGAUUGAGCGGCCGAUGUCAGAUUAGCUAGUUGGUGAGGUAAAGGCUCACCAAGGCGACGAUCUGUAGCGGGUCUGAGAGGAUGAUCCGCCACACUGGGACUGAGACACGGCCCAGACUCCUACGGGAGGCAGCAGUGGGGAAUUUUGGACAAUGGGGGCAACCCUGAUCCAGCCAUGCCGCGUGAGUAAAGAAGGCCUUCGGGUUGUAAAGCUCUUUCGGCCGGGAAGAAAUCGCACAGGCUAAUACCUUGUGUGGAUGACGGUACCGGAAUAAGAAGCACCGGCUAACUACGUGCAGCCGCCGCCGUAAAAC
rnacentral:rRNA from 1 species